rnacentral:rRNA from 1 species
GAGGAACUUGUUCCUCGAGUCGUUGAUUUCACACUGCCGAGAAAAGCCUCUAGCUAGAAUAACGGUGCCCGUACCGCAAACCGACACAGGUAGUCAAGAUGAGAAUUCUAAGGUGAGCGAGCGAACUCUCGUUAAGGAACUCGGCAAAAUGACCCCGUAACUUCGGGAGAAGGGGUGCUCUUUGAGGUUCACGCUUCGAAGAGCCGCAGUGAAUAGGCCCAAGCGACUGUUUAUCAAAAACACAGGUCUCUGCUAAACCGUAAGGUGACGUAUAGGGGCUGACGCCUGCCCGGUGCUGGAAGGUUAAGAGGAGUGGUUAGCGCAAGCGAAGCUACGAAUCGAAGCCCCAGUAAACGGCGGCCGUAACUAUAACGGUCCUAAGGUAGCGAAAUUCCUUGUCGGGUAAGUUCCGACCCGCACGAAAGGCGUAACGAUUUGGGCACUGUCUCAACGAGAGACUCGGUGAAAUCAUAGUACCGGUGAAGAUGCCGGUUACCCGCGACAGGACGGAAAGACCCCGUGGAGCUUUACUGUAGCCUGAUAUUGAAAUUCGGUACAGUUUGUACAGGAUAGGUAGGAGCCUUAGAAGCGUGAGCGCUAGCUUACGUGGAGGCAUUGGUGGGAUACUACCCUAAUUGUAUUGGAUUUCUAACCCGCAGCACUUAUCGUGCUGGGAGACAGUGUCAGGCGGGCAGUUUGACUGGGGCGGUCGCCUCCUAAAGAGUAACGGAGGCGCUCAAAGGUUCCCUCAGAAUGGUUGGAAAUCAUUCAUAGAGUGUAA